rnacentral:rRNA from 1 species
UACGAAGGGGGCGAGCGUUGUUCGGAGUUAUUGGGCGUAAAGGGCGCGUAGGCGGUCAGCACAAGUCAGUUGUGAAAUCUCCGGGCUUAACUCGGAAAGGUCAACUGAUACUGUGCGACUAGAGUGCGGAAGGGGCAACUGGAAUUCUCGGUGUAGCGGUGAAAUGCGUAGAUAUCGAGAGGAACACCUGCGGCGAAGGCGGGUUGCUGGGCCGACACUGACGCUGAGGCGCGAAAGCCAGGGGAGCGAACGGG